UACGUAGGCAGCGAGCGUUGUUCGGAGUUACUGGGCGUAAAGGGUGUGUAGGCGGUCGUUUAAGUUUGGUGUGAAAUCUCCCGGCUCAACCGGGAGGGUGCGCCGAAUACUGAAUGACUUGGAGUGCGGGAGAGGUGAGUGGAAUUCCUGGUGUAGCGGUGAAAUGCGUAGAUAUCAGGAGGAACACCGGUGGUGUAGACGGCUCACUGGACCGUAACUGACGCUGAGACACGAAAGCGUGGGUAGCAAACAG
rnacentral:rRNA from 1 species